GCUCUGCAGGGGUGGCUCAGUGGUUGAGCGUCAACCUAUGGACCAGGAGGUCACGGUUCAAUUCCCAUUCAGGGCACAUGCCCGGGUUG